GAAGGUACAGCUCAGUGGUAGAGCAUGUGCUUAGCAUGCACGAGGUCCUGGGUUCCAUCCCCAGUGCCUCCA
rnacentral:tRNA from 1 species